UACGGGGGGGGCUAGCGUUGUUCGGAAUUACUGGGCGUAAAGGGCGCGUAGGCGGUCUGCUAAGUUGGAUGUGAAAACUCUGGGCUUAACCCAGAGCCUGCAUUCAAUACUGACAGGCUAGAGUUCUGGAGGGGAUAGCGGAAUUCCUGGUGUAGCGGUGAAAUGCGUAGAUAUCAGGAGGAACACCGGUGGCGAAGGCGGCCUGCUGGGCAGUUGCUGACACUGAGGCGCGACAGCGUGGGGAGCAAACAGG
rnacentral:rRNA from 1 species